GAUGAACGCUAGCUACAGGCUUAACACAUGCAAGUCGAGGGGCAGCAUGGUUCUUAGCUUGUCUAAGGCCGAUGGCGACCGGCGCACGGGUGAGUAACACGUAUCCAACCUGCCGUCUACUCUUGGACAGCCUUCUGAAAGGAAGAUUAAUACAAGAUGGCAUCAUGAGUCCGCAUUGUUCACAUGAUUAAAGGUAUUCCGGUAGACGAUGGGGAUGCGUUCCGAUUAGAUAGUAGGCGGGGUAACGGCCCACCUAGUCUUCGAUGGAUGGGGGUUCUGAGAGGGAAGGUCCCCCACAUUGGGAACCUGAGACACGGGUCCAAACUCCUACGGGAGGCAGCAGUGAGGGAAUAGUUGGUCCAAUGGGCGAGAGCCUGAACCAGCCAAGUAGCGUGAAGGAUGACUGCCCUAUGGGUUGUAAACUU
rnacentral:rRNA from 1 species